CGUCCUGGACCAAGUCUGGAAGCUGUCCCAGUGAUGCACGAAUUCAUCCUUGUCAACUCCUUUCCUACUUGUCCCAGAGGACCGGCCGAGCCCUUGGGUGUCUCUCUUGAGCUCAUGCAACAUGCAGGGAUACAGCCGAGAUGAUCAGCGGACCAGCAAGGGCUCAUGCUCUCCUUCCUUUGCACAAAGGUGGCUGGAAAGGAUCUCCCAGCAUCCCCUGCAGGUCCUCACCAGCUCGAAAAGGGACCCUUGGCCCAUGAUCAAGCUGACAUAUUAAGUAAUGUGUGGGCCAUCUUCCCUUCUCCUGUCAGUCUAUUUGGUGGACACCACCAUGACCCUGAGGUCACAAGAUGGUGUAGGAGCCUCACAAUAGAAAGGCUCCUGUCCCCAAGCCAUCACUGGAGGACAGCCACCCAGGGCAGCCACGGGCCAGGAACAUGAUCUUGGGCUGUAUGGGGGUGAAAUAAAGAAGUGUCCACGUCUCAGACAUACAGAAAGCUCAGAGCAGGGCACAAGGGCCACCAGCCACCCAGCUCAGCUUCCAACACCAUCCACAUUGCCCCAGCUGCCCCUUGGCCACUCCCUGGCCACUUUUGGAACUGUUUGCUGGAGUGUUUUACAGUAGAUCCUGGACAUCACACAGCAAAAAUAAGCAAACAUCUAGACGCAACAGGACGAGGGGCCAAUUGUCAAAGCAGGUACCGUACCUGGCUGAUGCCGUGGGCACCCAUGUCCAGCAGUG
rnacentral:lncRNA from 1 species